CUGUUUAUCAAAACAUGCUCUGAUUUGGAAAUAGGAGGUAAGUCCUGCCCGGUGAAUCAUGGUUUUAACGGCCGCGGUACUCUGACCGUGCAAAGGUAGCAUAAUCAUUUGCCUUUUAAUUGGGGGCUGGUAUGAAUGGAUAAACGAGGGGUCUAUUGUCUCUUUACUAAUUUUAAAACUUAACCUCCAGGUGAAGAUGCCUGGAUUUCCCUAAAAGACAAAAAGACCCUAUUGAGUUUUAUUCUAAGGUGUUUGUUCUUCUAAUUAAGGCAUAUAGAAGAGUCACUACUAAGAAUUUAGUUGGGGCGACUAGGGGACAAGAAAAGCUCCCCGUGUAAAUAUCGGCGUUUUGCCUAGGGUAAAUGACCCAUUUAAGUGAUCAAAAGACGUAACUACCAUAGGGGUAACAGGCUAAUUUCCUCAGAGAGAUCAUAUUGACCAGGAAGAUUGGCACCUCGAUGUUGGCUUAGAUAACCUUUGAGCGCAGCAGCCCCAAACGGUUGGU
rnacentral:rRNA from 1 species